GACUUACCGAUUCCUAUACGAUCACCGAAGUUAAGCACCGUCGCACCUGUUCAGUACCAAGAUGGGUGGCCGCUUGGAAAUAGCAGGUGCUGCAAG